GAUGAACGCUGGCGGCAUGCUUAACACAUGCCAGUCGGACGGGAACUGGUGUUUCCAGUGCCGUUCGGGGGAGUGACUCGCAGGAACCUGCCCUUGGCAGGGGAACAACAACUGUCAACGGUUGCUACUACCCCGUAGGCUGAGGAGCAAAACAAGGAAUCCUCCGGAGGAGGGGCUGGCGUCUGACUCGCUAGUUGGUGAGGUAAAAGCGUACCGAGGCGAUUAUCAGUAGCUGGGCAGAGAGGAUGAUGAGCCACACUGUGACUGAGACACGGGCCAGGCACAUUGGGGAAGGGGCGGAAGGGAGUUUUCCGCAAUGGGCGUGAGCGUGAAGGGGCAUUGGGGCGUGGAGGUAGAAGGCCCAGGAGGAGUAAACUUCUUUUCUCGCAGAAGAAACAAUGACGGUACCUGAGGAAAAAGCCUCGGCUAACUCUGUG
rnacentral:rRNA from 1 species